GUGAUUUCUCUUCUUUUGGAAUAGCAGUGUGAGAACAGCAAGAGAGGGACCAUCGUUCCUUUACAGAGGUUCUCUGUACACCUGGGAUGGACACUGGCUGCUGGAGGGGACGAGUGAGGAACUGCAGGUGGAGGGAAGCGGCAUAUGACACAGGAUCACAUCCCAUGAGUUCCUUGGCCACUGGCUUCUGGAUGAGGUGGCCAGCGACUGAGAGUGGGAGGCUUUAUUCCCAGCACCCUCUCUGCUCAGCCACGGCUCCUAUCAGAGGCUCCCAGACCAUCAGCCAUGCUGCCUGGCCCUUCUGGCUGGGGCACUAACUGCUGCCCGCUGCUGUGAGCUGGGGUUUGUCUCACUGCCCCUGCGCCUGUCAUCGAGCCCCCAUGAGGCUGCAGCCUCCUCAAAUCCUUCUUUCUCUCCCUCCUUCCCUUCCAGGGGGUACUGUGAACCCCUUGAUCGCGGAUCAGGGUCAGGGGAAAGCAGCUGACCUCAGCCCCAGCAAAACGGGUUCUGCCUCUCCAAGCCUGCUAAUCUCAGAGCUGGUAUCUAUUUAAUAAACUUGCCGCUUUCCUCUAAAAGCUCUUUUAAAAUUGGCCCUAGGGUUUUUUGUAAUAAACUUUCUAUUUUAGAAUAGUUUUAGAUUUAGAGAAAUAUGGUGAAGAUAGUUCAGAAAUUGACUCACUUUUUAAAUUUUAUUUUAAAAGGAAGCAUUUCAUUAUUUCUGCAAAGAGAAAACCAGCAUGACUUGCCUCAAAUAGACUUUAAUCUUUAAAAUGAACAGAGAAAACAGAAGUAUUAUUAAAUCUUUAAAACUUAAAUAAAAAAUUAAAUGACUCAAUGCACAUAGUAAUAAAUCUGAUUGAUUUAACAACAUGCAAUUUAUGCAAAGUUGGCUAGGGCUGGGAUGUGUGCACAUGUGUGUAUGUACAAAGAAGAGAUGGGAGGUGAGCCUGCCACCCACGGGUGACAUGUUCUUUUCUUCCACGGUCGGUGAAAGUGACCCAGCUGAGCUUUCUCUCUGGAAGGAGCCAACCAGAGCUCAGCCCAAACUUAUAGAGCACUCGCCUGCUGUGGAAGACUGGCCUGCUGACUGGUACAUCUCAGCCCA